rnacentral:tRNA from 1 species
AAACGUAUGGCUUAGCGGUCAGAGCGCUCGGAUGGUUUCCAAGAGGCACGGGUUCAAAUCCCACUUCGUUGA